CCUGUCCCUAGUCACAGUCACACUAUGUGAUAGCACUCAGUGAUAAACAUUCAUACUACUCCAAUGCACUUUUCUUCUCUUGAUGUGGUGACCAGCCCCUCCUUGGCCAUUCCAGAUGUGGCCACCCGAGAAUCGAAAAAGCAUUGUGACCAUCCCCUCCUUGGCCAUCCCAGAUGUGUCCAGUCCUUCUUUGGCCACCCCAGAUGUGGUCACCCGACAUUGCCGAGUUAGAGGAUCAAAAAAGCGUAAAGUAGAUGACUCAUCUGUGACCAUCCCCUCCUUGGCCAUCCCAAAUGUGGCCAGUCCUUCUUUGGCCACCCCAGAUGUGGCCACCCAACGUUGCCGAGUUAGAGGAUCGAAAAAGCGUAAACUAGAUGACUCAUCUGUGACCAUCCCCUCCUUGGCCACCCUAGAUGUGGCCAGCCUUUCCUGCACGAGCUCAGCUGUCACAUCGUCAUCAUCAUUUAAGUCUUUCGUACAUGAGGUCUCGACAGUCUCGGACAUUUACAAACUAGCGGGUAAUGCUUUCAAUUAUCAGGAUUAUCUGGAUCGCAUUACAUUUUCUAGUGAAGUAUGGAAAGAAGACGACGUAAAGAAAUUCAGGGUGGCUAAAGAAAAAGUGAAUCAUCUGUAUUACAUUAAUUGUAAUGAUUUUCACAGUACCAAUAAUUAUACUUAUGUAGAUAGAUAUACAUUAAUUUUACGAUUGGUGUACGAUAAUAGUCAUUAUAUUUUUGUAGCAAUAAAAUGUACUAACUGUUUUUUUUAGAUAUCUACCUGAUAGCAUAUAUGGAUGUAUGUACCUUACCUUUAAUGUUACUUUCUUAGUAAAUAAUAUUGUUAUAGAGUUGCUCAAAGACGAAACUAUGCAAAAAAAUAUACAAAAUAAUUUAAUCUUAUCGCUUAAAGACAAAUGCCAAUAUAUUAUAAGAUCGAUAGAUAUAUCACCACCAUCGCUGAAGUCCCUGUGCCACUUGACUGUCCGGGACCACCAGGACAAACUGAAAUUCUACCCAGAAAUUCUUCCCCAAAUUCUAACCAAGAGUCUGACUGAAUUCAUUAAUUAUAGCAAAACUAAUGUAAUAGUCACCUAUGCUCCUCGAUGUCCUGCCCACAUUAUUCCAUCGAAUUUGCCUGUAACUUUAUAUAAAUGCAAGGAAUUACAUUUAAAUUCAAAAUCAGAAAUUUUACUAUUUUUAUGGAAAUAGGCUUAUGUUUGUCAAGUUGAAAAACAGGAUGUUACAUCCUGUAUUGCACAGGGGUUGGUUGGUUCCCAAGAAUAAUGCCACAUGGAGUGUGAAUUUUAUAUGAUGGUAAUAUAUUUAUUCUGUACAGUACAGGAUGUACAUCCUGUUUCAUCAGUGCCAACCAUAGGUCUGAAGGGAGAGGAGGUGUAUUGCUCUGAUUAAUCACGGCUGACCCUUGGGACCCGUAAUCUGAUCCUUUCUCACAAGUUAACCGUGAAGAGAAGAAAGCACUUAGAAGGAAUUCAUAAAACUAUAAAAGAAAAGAGGGAAGCAGCAGCGAGAGAGGCGGCGGUGUCUGGUGAAGGAAGAAAGAGAAAACGUAAGAAAACUAGUGUGACCACAGCCCUUCCUUGGCCACUCCAGAUGUGGCCACCCAACGUUGCCGAGCUAGAGGAUGAAAAAGCGUAAAGUAGAUGACUCAUCUGUUUGGCCAGUCCUUCCUUGACCACUCCAGAUGUAGCCAGAUGUGGAUAAUUUCAACAUGGAACUUCCCUUUUUUAUUUUUACAAAUAAUAUUAAUAUUACUUAAGUAUCUAUUAAUAUAUAUUAUUAAUUUUUUUAGGGAUUAUCUUCGAUGUUUUUGAAUUAAUAUCUGUUCAUU